UACGGAGGAUGCAAGCGUUAUCCGGAAUGAUUGGGCGUAAAGCGUCCGUAGGUGGCUAUUCAAGUCUGCUGUUAAAGCGCAGGGCUUAACCCUGUAAAGGCGGUGGAAACUGGAGAGCUAGAGUGUGGUAGGGGUAGAGGGAAUUCCCGGUGUAGCGGUGAAAUGCGUGGAGAUCGGGAAGAACACCAGUGGCGAAAGCGGCGCACUGGACCACAACUGACGCUGAGGCGCGAAAGCUAGGGGAGCAAACAGG
rnacentral:rRNA from 1 species